UGAUACUGAUCCUAAGGUCAA
rnacentral:piRNA from 1 species